rnacentral:RNase_P_RNA from 2 species
GGAGCCGGUGUCGUGGUCGCGGGACCUUGCGAGGUCCUGAGGAAAGUCCGAGCUCCGCAGGGCAGGGUGCUGGGUAACCCCCAGUGGGAGCGAUCCCAAGGAAAGUGCCACAGAAAGCAAACCGCCCUCCGCGAUGCGAUUCCCGGAUUCGACUGCCCGGAACGGUGCAGCGAGCCGGGGGUCCGCGGGGGUAAGGGUGAAACGGUGAGGUAAGAGCUCACCAGUGCCGGCGGCGACGCCGGCAGCUCGGCAAACCCCACCCGGAGCAAGACCAAAUAGAGGAGGAGAGAUGGCCCGUCUCGUCACCACUCCCGGGUUCGGUCGCUCGAGGCGGUCGGCGACGGCCGCCCCAGACAAAUGACCACAGCGAGACAUCGUCCCGCAACAGAACUCGGCUUACCGCCGACUCCCCCG